rnacentral:rRNA from 1 species
GAAGGUGGCAAGCGUUAUUCGGAUUUACUGGGCGUACAGGGAGCGUAGGCGGUUCGGUAAGCCCUCUGUGAAAUCUCCAGGCUUAACCUGGAACAGUCGGAGGGGACUGCUGGGCUAGAGGACGGGAGAGGAGCGCGGAAUUCCCGGUGUAGCGGUGAAAUGCGUAGAGAUCGGGAGGAAGGCCGGUGGCGAAGGCGGCGCUCUGGAACGUUUCUGACGCUGAGGCUCAAAAGCGUGGGGAGCAAACAGGAUUAGAUACCCUGGUAGUCCACGCCUUAAACUAUGAAUACUAAGUGUCGGCGGGUUACCGCCGGUGCCGCAGCUAACGCAUUAAGUAUUCCGUCUGGGAAGUACGGCCGCAAGGUUG